rnacentral:rRNA from 1 species
UACGAAGGGGGCUAGCGUUGCUCGGAAUCAUUGGGCGUAAAGGGCGCGUAGGCGGCCAUUCAAGUCGGGGGUGAAAGCCUGUGGCUCAACCACAGAAUUGCCUUCGAUACUGUUUGGCUUGAGUAUGGCAGAGGUUGGUGGAACUGCGAGUGUAGAGGUGAAAUUCGUAGAUAUUAGGAAGAACACCAGUGGCGAAGGCGGCCAACUGGGCCAAUACUGACGCUGAGGCGCGAAAGCGUGGGGAGCAAACAGG